GGUUGCGUAGUGUAGAGGUUAUCACUGCGGAUUCUGAAAUCCCCUGCCUCGUCUGGGCCGAAAUUUGAACAUUCCGCUAACCUCGGUUCGAAUCCGAGCGCGACCG
rnacentral:tRNA from 1 species